ensembl:snoRNA
GGCAGAUUGAUGAUGAAACAAUCACAGAAAGAUUAUCAUUCACAAAUGAGUUUCCCAUUUGGAUGGUCU